CUGGCGGCGUUGCCUAAUGCAUGCAAGUCGCACGGAGAAGCCUUCGGGCUCUGAGUGGCGCACGGCUGAGGAACACGUGGGAAUCUGCCCGACCGUGGGGGAUAACGCGCCGAAAGGCGUGCUAAUCCCGCAUACGCUCGCAAGAGGAAAGCAGCAAUGCGCGGUCGGAGGAGCCUGCGGCCCAUCAGGUAGUUGGCGGGGUAACGGCCCACCAAGCCACUGACGGGUAGCUGGUCUGUGAGGACAACCAGCCAGACUGGGACUGAGACACGGCCCAGACUCCUACGGGAGGCAGCAGCAAGGAAUUUUCGUCAAUGGGCGCAAGCCUGAACGAGCAACGCCGCGUGGAGGAUGACGGCCUUCGGGUUGUAAACUCCUUUUCCGGGGGAUGAUAGUGACCGUACCCUGGGAAUAAGGCUCGGCUAACUCUGUGCCAGCAGCCGCGGUAAGACAGAGGAGCCAAGCGUUGUCCGGAUUGACUGGGCGUAAAGCGCACGCAGGCGGUUGGGCACGUGGGGUGUGAAAGCGGCCCGCUUAACGGGCCGAGGCCAUCCCAUACGGCCCGACUGGAGCCUGGCAGAGGUUCGUGGAAUUGCCGGUGUAGUGGUGAAAUGCGUAGAGAUCGGCAGGAACACCAAGGGGGAAACCAGCGAACUGGGCCAGAGCUGACGCUCAGGUGCGAAAGCGUGGGGAGCGAACCGGAUUAGAUACCCGGGUAGUCCACGCCGUAAACGAUGAAUACUCGGCAUCUGGGGGGCGAUAUUCGUCCGCCGGGUGCCCCAGCUAACGCGGUAAGUAUUCCGCCUGGGAACUACGAGCGCAAGC
rnacentral:rRNA from 1 species